GGUUAAGCGACUAAGCGUACACGGUGGAUGCCCUGGCAGUCAGAGGCGAUGAAGGACGUGCUAAUCUGCGAUAAGCGUCGGUAAGGUGAUAUGAACCGUUAUAACCGGCGAUUUCCGAAUGGGGAAACCCAGUGUGAUUCGUCACACUAUCAUUAACUGAAUCCAUAGGUUAAUGAGGCGAACCGGGGGAACUGAAACAUCUAAGUACCCCGAGGAAAAGAAAUCAACCGAGAUUCCCCCAGUAGCGGCGAGCGAACGGGGAGCAGCCCAGAGCCUGAAUCAGUGUGUGUGUUAGUGGAAGCGUCUGGAAAGGCGCGCGAUACAGGGUGACAGCCCCGUACACAAAAAUGCACAUGCUGUGAGCUCGAUGAGUAGGGCGGGACACGUGA
rnacentral:rRNA from 1 species